rfam:Nocardia donostiensis strain X1655 13, whole genome shotgun sequence.
GUCGGUCUUCGGUAGUGGCUUUUCGGCAGUUCGGAUGUGCCGGCGAGCUUCGAUCGAUGACCGCC